AACAUUCAACGCUGUCGGUGAGUUUUGUCAAUGAAGUCAAACCAUCGACUGUUGAGUGUACC
rnacentral:pre_miRNA from 1 species